AUGGAGGUCAGCGACGAAGAGAGCGUGACCGGCCCCGCCCGCACGCCGGACACGGACUCGGAGCCGGAGCAGCCGGACCCCGCCGCGGCCCCAGCGGCUAUCGCGCCGUACCCCGGGGACAUCGACGACGAGACCGAGGCCGACCUCGCCCGCCUGCUGGACUCCUCGGAGCAGCCUGACCCCGCCGCGCUCCGGGCGGGUAUGGAGCCGUACCUCGGGGACAUCGACCGAUACAUGCGGUCCCUGGAGGCAUCGAGGAGGCCGAGGGAUGACUAUAUCUGGACAACACAGGAAGAUAUCAAUCCCAAGAUGAGGGCGGUCCUAGUUGACUGGCUGGUGGACGUGUCUUGUACAUUCAGGCUUCCUGCUGACACACUUCACCUUGCAGUUUCAUAUGUCGACCGCUUCCUCACAGCAAGUGUCAUUAAAUGGCACGAGUUGCAAUUACUUGGUGUGACCGCAUUGCUUGUUGCUGCGAAAUAUGAAGAUGACAUAUUUGUGCAUGAGGUCCAAAGAUACAGGGGCGUUACUGCCAACACGUACACCACGAAGCAGGUUGUGAAGAUGGAGACUGACAUACUGAAAUCUCUUAACUUUGAGAUGGGGAGUCCUACUGCAAGAACUUUUCUACGGAGAUACAUAACUGUUUGCCGCGGACGCGAUCGCGCAAAAGCAAAGAAGCUGGAGUUUCUGUGUAGCUACCUUGCAGAAUUGAGCUUGCUGGACUAUGACUGCAUACAGUUCAAUCCAUCAGUUGUUGCUGCUGCCUGCCUUUUUUUGGCCAGGUUCACAAUCAGCCCAACUGCCCGUCCUUGGAACCUGACGCUGCAAAGGAACACGAAAUACAAGGUCUCUGAUCUCAAGUCUUGCAUCUUGAUGAUACACAAAUUGCAGUUGAAUGGAUAUCCGGGCCUGAAAGAAGACGCCAUCAAAGUCAAGUAUAAUGAUCGCGAGCUUGAGCAUGUGUCGGCAAUGGAUCCACCUGAAAAUAUCCCUCUGCGUUUCCUCAAGGACAUCGGACAGUGA
rnacentral:rRNA from 1 species